AAAGUCGUAACAAGGUCUCCGUUGGUGAACCAGCGGAGGGAUCAUUACCGAGUUAUACUCCAGACCCUUUGUGAACCAUACCUCAUGUUGCUCGGCGCACCGCUGGGUGGCCUAACCGCCCCUCCGCAUCGCGUCAGAGGACCUAAACUCUUAUUUUAUAGCGUACCUUCUGAUUAAAAAGACAAACAAGUCAAAACUUUCAACAACGGAUCUCUUGGCUCUG
rnacentral:misc_RNA from 1 species